rnacentral:tmRNA from 1 species
GGGGAUGUAAUGGUUUCGACAGGGAUCAUGCAGCCGGUGAAGCUAUCCGAAGGCAUCGCGUAAGAUGCAAACCUAAAUAUAAACGCUAACGAAAAUUUAGCUUACGCUGCUUAAUUAAUGCAGCUGUCGUGGCUUAAUGUCCUACAGUUAAGUUAACGGCAUCGUCUUUUGUAGGGAACUGUUUACGCAAAGCUUUGAGUGUAAAAUGGAUUUAUGAAGCUACCAUGUAACUGCGGUUGUUAUUUACUGCAGUUACAUGGGAAGUGAAAUGUUAUAGUUUCAAAAUAAAUAACUAUGAUAGUAGAAGAACGGGGAAUUGGUUCUUGGACACGGGUUCGACUCCCGUCAUCUCCAUUA